rnacentral:rRNA from 1 species
GACGUAGGGCGCGAGCGUUGUCCGGAUUUAUUGGGCGUAAAGAGCUCGUAGGCGGCUUGUCGCGUCGUCCGUGAAAACCUGGGGCUCAACUCCAGGCUUGCGGGCGAUACGGGCAGGCUAGAGUUCGGUAGGGGAGACUGGAAUUCCUGGUGUAGCGGUGAAAUGCGCAGAUAUCAGGAGGAACACCGGUGGCGAAGGCGGGUCUCUGGGCCGAUACUGACGCUGAGGAGCGAAAGCGUGGGGAGCGAACAGG